rnacentral:rRNA from 1 species
UACGUAGGGUGCAAGCGUUGUCCGGAUUUAUUGGGCGUAAAGAGCGUGUAGGCGGCCUUACAGGUCAGCUGUGAAAACUCGAGGCUCAACCUCGAGACGUCGGUUGAAACCGUAAGGCUAGAGUCCGGAAGAGGAGAGUGGAAUUCCCGGUGUAGCGGUGAAAUGCGCAGAUAUCGGGAAGAACACCCGUGGCGAAGGCGGCUCUCUGGGACGGUACUGACGCUGAGACGCGAAAGCGUGGGGAGCGAACAGG